AUUGAACGCUGGCGGCAGGCCUAACACAUGCAAGUCGAGCGGAGCGGCGGACGGGUGAGUAAUGCCUAGGAAUCUGCCUGGUAGUGGGGGAUAACGUCGGGAAACGGGCGCUAAUACAGCAUAAUAUCAGAUGAGCCUAGGUUGGAUUAGCUAGUUGGUGGGGUAAAGGCCUACCAAGGCGACGAUCCGUAACUGGUCUGAGCGGAUGAUGAGUCACACUGGAACUGAGACACGGUCCAGACUCCUACGGGAGGCAGCAGUGGGGAAUAUUGGGCAAUGGUCGAAAGCCUGAUCCAGCCAUGCCGCGUGUGUGAAGAAGGUCUUCGGAUUGUAAAGCACUUUAAGUUGGGAGGCGUUACCAACAGAAUAAGCACCGGCUAACUUCGUGCCAGCCGCCGCGGUAAUAC
rnacentral:rRNA from 1 species